rnacentral:rRNA from 1 species
UACGGAGGGAGCUAGCGUUGUUCGGAAUUACUGGGCGUAAAGCGCGCGUAGGCGGCUUUGUAAGUUAGAGGUGAAAGCCCGGGGCUCAACCCCGGAAUUGCCUUUAAGACUGCAUCGCUAGAAUCCAGGAGAGGUGAGUGGAAUUCCGAGUGUAGAGGUGAAAUUCGUAGAUAUUCGGAAGAACACCAGUGGCGAAGGCGGCUCACUGGACUGGUAUUGACGCUGAGGUGGCGAAAGCCAGGGGAGCAAAGCGGG